rnacentral:rRNA from 1 species
UGGGGAAUAUUGCACAAUGGGCGAAAGCCUGAUGCAGCGACGCCGCGUGAGGGAUGACGGCCUUCGGGUUGUAAACCUCUUUCGACAGGGACGAAGCGCGAGUGACGGUACCUGUAGAAGAAGCACCGGCCAACUACGUGCCAGCAGCCGCGGUAAUACGUAGGGUGCGAGCGUUGUCCGGAAUUACUGGGCGUAAAGAGCUUGUAGGCGGUUCGUCGCGUCGAUUGUGAAAACUUGCAGCUCAACUGCAAGCUUGCAGUCGAUACGGGCGGACUAGAGUACUUCAGGGGAGACUGGAAUUCCUGGUGUAGCGGUGAAAUGCGCAGAUAUCAGGAGGAACACCGGUGGCGAAGGCGGGUCUCUGGGAAGUAACUGACGCUGAGAAGCGAAAGCGUGGGUAGCGAACA